CAGUCGCCGCGGUAAAACGGAGGGUGCAAGCGUUAAUCGGAUUUACUGGGCGUAAAGCGUGCGUAGGCGGCUUCUUAAGUCGGAUGUGAAAUCCCUGAGCUUAACUUAGGAAUUGCAUUCGAUACUGGGAAGCUAGAGUAUGGGAGAGGAUGGUAGAAUUCCAGGUGUAGCGGUGAAAUGCGUAGAGAUCUGGAGGAAUACCGAUGGCGAAGGCAGCCAUCUGGCCUAAUACUGACGCUGAGGUACGAAAGCAUGGGGAGCAAACAGGAUUAGAUACCCCCGUAGUCCCUGUCUCUUAUAC
rnacentral:rRNA from 1 species